GGCGCGGGGCUGGAGGCGGCGGAGCGCGAGAGCUUCGAGCGGACUCAGGUUCGCUCUUGGUCUAGCCUUGCCUCCUACAUACCCAGUCUAGAGCCUGGCAGCAUGCCCAUCAAAAGACUCUCACUGCUCUGCCUUCUUCUGUCCUGGCAUCUAUAACCUCAGACCAGCCUUGCAUCCCUAUUCCUGCCAGCCUCCUCCAGGAAACCUUGCCUCCUCAGCUCUCCUGCACCAUCCUCACAUUUCACCUGGCCACUGUCACUGCCAGAGUAGGCACCACUGACCUGCCUGAUGGCCCAGCCACUGCCUCCAUCUCCAACCAGACCCUUGGUGUGUUCCCCACCCAAUCCAUCACAAGCCACCUUCAAGCUUCAGGGAAGUGAAAAGUACUUCCUGCCCUCA